rnacentral:rRNA from 1 species
UACAGAGGGGGCAAGCGUUAUUCGGAAUUAUUGGGCGUAAAGGGCGCGUAGGCGGCCACGCACGUCCGUUGUGAAAUCGCCCGGCUCAACUGGGCGGGGUCGGCGGAUACGGCGUGGCUGGAGCAAGCUAGGGGGCAAUGGAAUUCCCGGUGUAGUGGUGGAAUGCGUAGAUAUCGGGAGGAACACCAGUGGCGAAGGCGGUUGCCUGGAGCUUUGCUGACGCUGAGGCGCGAAAGCGUGGGGAGCGAUCCGG